GUGGCCCUGAAUCAAGGUUGGCAGUUUUGUGAAGCUGUUGGUUUCAAACAGGAGCCUAAAGUGGAUUAGAAAUUUAGUGAUCAAUUCAUUAGAAAAAAAAACAACU
rnacentral:snoRNA from 1 species